rnacentral:tRNA from 1 species
UAACUCAAUUGGUUAGAGCAUGGUGCUGGUAACACCAAGGUCGCGGGUUCGAUUCACGU